AAAGUGCGAUAAGCACUGUGAAUUGCAGAAUUUAGCGAAUCAGUAGAUUUCUCAACGCAAACUGUAUCAGUGGAACUUGUUCUACUGAUAAGUUUACUUCAAAAUCUUUUCAAAAUAUACUCAAAAGUGUUAUUUGAGUAUUUUUGCCUUACUGGCGUGAGGUGCGUUAACAUUUGACGCAUUUGGUUGCCUAAAAUCUCAGUAUUUUUAAUUGAAAAAUUUUAAAUAAUUCUGAAAUUUUGGGUUUUUAAUACGGAUUUGAAGUAAGCUAGAUUACCCGCUGAACUUAA
rnacentral:misc_RNA from 1 species